UUAUCUCUGUAGAGUCUGCAUAUCAAUAAGCGGAGGAAAAGAAACUAACAAGGAUUCCCUUAGUAACGGCGAGUGAAGCGGGAAGAGCUCAAAUUUGAAAUCUUCAAGGUUCUACCUUGACGAAUUGUAGUUUAAAGAAGUGUUUUCUGUUAGAUGAGUAGCAAAAGUUCCUUGGAAUGGGACAUCAUAGAGGGUGAGAAUCCCGUAUUUGGUUAUUCAUUCUAGCUUUGUGAUACACUUUCAAAGAGUCGGAUUGUUUGGGAAUGCAGUCCAAAAUGGGUGGUAAAUUUCAUCUAAAGCUAAAUAUUGGCGAGAGACCGAUAGCGAACAAGUACCGUGAGGGAAAGAUGAGAAGAACUUUGAAGAGAGAGUUAAACAGUACGUGAAAUUGUCAAAAGGGAAGCGUUUGACACCAGUGUUGUUUUUCCGAAAAUCAAUUACGAAUGGCUUGAUUUUGUGUUGUAUUGACCUUAUCAGCUUUCUGCACUUUUUUCGAGUCUUUCUUAAUGCACUUUUCGGUUAACAAGUCAACAUCAAUUUCUUUUGUUGUAAAAGAGUAUUCGGAAGGUGGCUUUCUUUUCGGAGAAAGUGUUUAUAGCCCUAUACUUCUACAAUCGGAGAGGUUGAGGUCUGCAGCGUAGAUCCUUCGGGGUUAGAUACAUUUGUGCUAAGUUGUAGCUUUUCAUAGACAACUUGUUGACUAUGUUUAGUCAUGCGGCUUACUCGCUUAUGCUAUUUUACCUACGCUUAGGAUGUUGACUGAUAUGUAGUCGUA
rnacentral:rRNA from 1 species